rnacentral:rRNA from 1 species
GAUGAACGCUAGCGGUAGGCUUAACACAUGCAAGUCGAGGGGCAGCAUGGUCUUAGCUUGCUAAGGCUGAUGGCGACCGGCGCACGGGUGCGUAACGCGUAUGCAACUUGCCUCACAGAGGGGGAUAACCCGUCGAAAGACGGACUAAUACCGCGUACACUCUAUGUUGUGCGUCCACUGUAGAGGAAAUGAAAUUCGCUGUGAGAUAGGCAUGAGUCCCAUUAGCUAGUUGGUGAGGUAACGGCUCACCAAGGCGACGAUGGGUAGGGGAACUGAGAGGAUCAUCCCCGACACUGGGACUGGGACACGGACCAGACUCAUACGGGAGGCAGCAGUGAGGAAUAUUGGUCAGUGGGCGAGAGCCUGAACCAGCCAAGUCGCGUGAAGGAUGACUGUGUUAUGGAUGGUAAACUUCUUUUAGACGGGAAUAACAAGAGUCACGUGUGGCUCCCUGAAUGUACCGUAUGAAUAAGCACCGGCUAACUCCGUG